CAAAACUCUCAAUUAGAAGUUAACAAAAUAUUGAAGCUCUUCCUUCUCUCUAGCUUCUCUCUUUAUGCUAAACCUCCAUUGAAGAACUUUGGAGCUCCAAGAAGAGGAUCAAUUCUCAAUGGAUUCAACUCAAUUUCGUAGCAAAAUCUUCAUUAAGGUGGUUGAAGCAUGAAGUCCCAUGAUGGGCAAGAAGGUGCAGGCACAGGUUGGCAAUAGAGCUACAGGAUCAUUGUUGCAGCUAUCCAGACGUUAGCAUUCAUCCGGAGUUUUGUAGGUCCUCAUGCUUUCAAGGAUAUUAUUAUUUUACAUUCCAGCUUAGUUUUAGAGUGAGUUAGUGGAGCAUGUUCCACUAGUGUUUCUUUCUUGUUUUGAUUCAGACUUUGUAUU